CAAUAGCGUAUAUUAAAGUUGUUGCAGUUAAAAAGCUCGUAGUUGGAUUUCGGGGCAGCCUGGCUGGUCCGCCGCAAGGCGAGUACUGGUCAGCCGCCCUUCCUCUCGAAAGCCCCGACUGCUCUUUAUUGCAGUGGUCGGGUAGUUCGGGACGUUUACUUUGAAAAAAUUAGAGUGUUCAAGGCAGGCCUACGCCUGAAUACAUUAGCAUGGAAUAAUGGAAGAGGACCUCGGUCCUAUUUUGUUGGUUUCCAGGACCGAAGUAAUGAUUAAGAGGGACAGUUGGGGGCAUUCGUAUUUAAUUGUCAGAGGUGAAAUUCUCGGAUUUAUGAAGGACGAACAACUGCGAAAGCAUUUGCCAAGGAUGUUUUCAUUAA
rnacentral:rRNA from 1 species